GAUGAACGCUGGCGGCGUGCCUAAUACAUGCAAGUCGAGCGAACAGACGAGGAGCUUGCUCCUCUGACGUUAGCGGCGGACGGGUGAGUAACACGUGUAUAACCUACCUAUAAUACUGGUAUAACUUCGGGAAACCGGAUCUAAUACCGUAUAAUCUAUUGAACCGCAUUGUUCAAUAGUGAAAUACGGUUUUGCGGUCACUUCUAGAUGGAUCCGCGCCGCAUGAGCUAGUUGGUAAGGUAACGGACUACCAAGGCGACGAGGCGUAGCCGACGUGUGAGGGUGAUAGGCGGCAUUGGAACUGAGACAGGGACAAGACUACUAAGGGAGGGAGCAGACGGGAAUCUGACGCAAUGGGGGAAAGCCUGACGGAGCAACGCGGAGUGAGUGAUGACGGUCUCCGGAUCGUAAAAAUCUGUUAUGAGGGAAGAACAAAUGUGUACGUAACUAUGCACGUAGUGACGGUAAUUAAUAAGAAAGCAACGGCUAACUACGUG
rnacentral:rRNA from 1 species